rnacentral:rRNA from 1 species
UACGAAGGGGGCUAGCGUUGCUCGGAAUCACUGGGCGUAAAGGGUGCGUAGGCGGGUCUUUAAGUCAGGGGUGAAAUCCUGGAGCUCAACGUCCAGAACUGCCUUUGAUACUGAGGAUCUUGAGUUCGGGAGAGGUGAGUGGAACUGCGAGUGUAGAGGUGAAAUUCGUAGGAUAUUCGCAAGAACACCAGUGGCGAAGGCGGCUCACUGGCCCGAGUACUGACGCUGAGGCACGAAGCGUGGGAGCAAGCAGG